UGUGCCUGUAAAUGAAGACAACAGGAGGGUUAAAUGACUGAAUAUUUGGAAGCAUAUGAUCAGGAGGGAACAAUCUGCUCAGUGAAAGUGGAUGAAAUAUUCAUAUUUGCUUUUCUUGCUAAUCAUUGACAUAGAAACUGGCAUUUAAAGGCUUAGUGUCCUGACCAGCAAUUAAUAUUUGGUGGUUAUGAUCUGGACUAAUGAUGGUUAAAAAUGUACUCCGUGAAAAUAUAAAUUAGUUUUAAUGUUUAAUAGUUUUAUGGUAGUUUCUGAUGUUGGCAUUUUAGCCUUUCAGGUCCUGAACUAGACUCCUGUUGGGUCGGUGUUGAGUAGAUUUGACUCUUUAGCUGCUGUUUGGAAAAUGAAGAUGCCUGAGACAAAAGGGAGGAUACAGGGAAGACAGAGGACAGAAGGAAGGAAAUGAAGGAUUGGUGGAGGACUGAUAUUUAGUGAAAUUAAUUUAAAGUAGUUGUUUUUAUCAACGGAGGCUCCGUUUCCCCCUGAAUCCUUCACUAAGCAGUAACAAGCCGUUUGUCCCACCGCUCCUGAAGGCAGCGUCGCAGGGUGCUGUUGCCAUGGUAACUGCCGCCGCUAACAACUAGUUGAAGCGUCUUUAAGUUAACAAAUUUUUGUUUGUUUGUUUGUUUUACCGCAGGUUUGGAUUAAUGUCGUCCAAAAAGCUGGACCCUCUGUCGGUGCGCGAGCCUUCAGGAGGCGGCGAGGAGCAGAGCGGAGGGUGGAGCCCCGAGCCCCAGGUUCCAGUGAAGGUGUUUCCAGCUCACAGUGACGCAGUGACAGCAGCUCGAUUCUGCUGCAGCGACAGAUUUAUCCUGAGCUGCUCCUCAGACUGCAGCGCCAUCCUCUGGGACGUGGACAGCUGUCUUCCUCUGAGGACGUUUGAUGGAGUUCACAGUAAAACCAUCAGUGAGGUCGCUGUGAUCCCCAACAGCAACAGCUGACCUGCUGGUGUCGGGCUCCUACGACAGGACCGUUGCACUCUGGGAUACGUCCUCCCACUGCCAGACUCUCAUCCUCAAGGGCCAUAGUGAUUGGGUGACGGACGUGUCAAUCAGCGCUGACAGGAAGUUGGUGGCGUCUUCCUCCAAGAGAUUAUCAUGCUGAAGCUUGGCGUCCUUUGGGGAAAGUCAGAAUUCCGCCGGCAACCGGUAACUGGAGACAACUUGUCCAGAUUGCGUGGAGAGGCCUACACCAUGGAACCAGACUGUCGCUGACUUGCCACCAACAUACUGCUCUGGAGGAUUGCAGAUAUGGGGAAGUCGUAGGGCCAGCUCUCCCAGCGCACAGAAAACGCAACCAUAUUACUGGCUGGAAUGCAGAUGGGCUGAUGGGGCGGGGAGGUCAGGUGAAUGCACAGAACAAUACACUUUCUCCAUAUAUUCUAUACAAUACACUUUGGCUGUCGCCACAUGGUUCAGUGCCACUAAAUCUAGCCUUCUGUCAGUUCUACCUGCUCUGUUUUCCUCACAGGUUUUUCUUUGUUGCUCAGAUUACUAAUAUUAGCCUCAGCAAAAUGUUAACAAACAUAAAGCAGUUAGCUAGCCAGCUAGCAAUAAGCAUAUUCAGUCCCUCAGUCACUCUGUCUGCUCCAUUUCACAGUUACAUGCAAUACAAGCUUUUUACAUCACACUUUGUUUUACACUAAUGUUAAUUUGAGCUUACAUUUCUGACAUUCAUCAGUUUUAGGUAAUUUUAUCCAGGUUCUUUAGGGAUUUUGACUUACUAUAGCCCCAGGUGAGACCUCCAACACUUCAGACACCAAAUACUCAAAACAAGCUGUUUUACCUUAAUCUAGGUGGCACCAAUUGUCAUUUUUUGAACAUAUUUAGAUCAUUUUAUUCUUUUUCCAAAAACAGUUAAUUACAUGUAAUGUUUUUCUGACAUUUUACCAUAUAUUGGGGGCAAUUUAUUCAUAUUUUUGUGGUGAUAAACAGAUUGUUGUUUUUUUAGGAGGUUUUAUUACUUAGUCUAUUAUCCAGAUUUGUUUUUUUCAGACUUAGGAUAUUUUGCUGAUAUUCUUAUAUUUUAAAUUCUUUCAAAAUGUAUUUAUAUUUUUCAGGCACUCUAAUAUGUAUCUCAGCUGCUUGUCAGUUUAAAUGUGUUCACAAUUAAACACAAGUUUUUUUUUCUGGUCUAUGAAGGAAAGCAUUGACAUCAAUGAUCAGUCCCAGAUUUAAUGUCAAACACACUUUUAUUCCAUACAUUACAGCUGAAAGAGUUCACACGUCAGAAACAUCCAGUCCAGUGAUCACAUCUGAAAGGCCUCCAGCUGUUUAUCACCACUCACUUCUGAGCACCAAUCCUCUGAUCGGCCCAAAACCCCGUUUCUAAGGCAGUGAGCUGCUGCAGGAAACAAGCUGAGGUGACAGUAGAUUCCUGGUCUGCAGAGGAAAGCGUUGGACGGACUGAAGUCCAGCAGAGCAGCGGUUUGGUUUGAGGCUUCCAGCUGACGGAGGACCAGUCCCAGCAGCAGCAGGUCCAUCAGAAGGUGCUCUGCAGCAGACAGUGGCAGCCGCAACCCGCCGGACACUCGUCCUGCCGCCGAAACCAGUCCAUCAUGUGGCUGGUGUGUCCGCCGUGACCACAGCUCAGGCAGAAGUUGGAGGAUCCUCGGACGGCCACGUGGCAGAUGGCGCACUGGAAGAGUUUGAACAUGGGUGAAUGAUCGUACCGAUGCCUUUGUGAGGUUCAGGAGGGCAGGAGGCGAACUUCAGCACGUCGGCCCUUUUGUCUCUGAGCCCCCAUCGGUACAAGAUUUCACCGUAACACUUCUUAAAGUCAUCGAACUGCAGCGUGUUGGCCGGAUCCAGCAGCCUGCACAGGGACGACAUGACAUCAGAGCGACAUCACAACACUGACUCGUCUGUCUGAGCAGGGGGAGGAGCUACAUCACCUCUUGUUCAUGUCGUGCUGCUCUCGCUCACGUUCCCGUGGAUCUGUGUAUCCCUGGGUACCAUAGCGAUAGUCAUCGGGAGAGGAUUCCCCCCAGGGGUUUCCAUGUUCAGAGUCUCUACCUGAAAACAGCAAGAGAUCACCUGAGUGGGCGGAGACAGAAACCUGGACAUCCACGGUAUCGGCCUGCAGGCGGCGCUGUGGAUCCUCACCUGUGUUCCAGGUGGUGGUGGUGAUGGAGUCCGAGGUGCUGGAGCAGGAACCUGAGGUGAUGGAGCUGGAGGUGUAGCUGGGCUGAGAAGACAGGUGAGAACAAGGCUGACUGUAGCUGCAUCCUCACACACCUGGUAAACCUGACUUUAACCUGGUUUAAUCCCAGUUUAACUCAGGAUUAACUUUAACCUGCUUUAGACCCAGUUUAACUCAGGUUUCACUUUAGCUGAGAUCUAAUUUAAACAUGUAAAUUUUUCCUAUUCAUUUUGAAAACCUACAGUUUUUCAUCAUGUCGAUGUUUGAUUUUCUUUAAACCAGUUUAGCUCCAGUUCAGCUGAUCUGGUUUGUCAGGUUUCAUUAAAAAUGCAGCAGCAUUUUCACUUCCUGUUCCUAUUUUUGUGGAUUGUGUCUCCAUCUGAGUUUAACAGGAACUCAGACAGACUUGCAGCUGUAGGAAUGGUAACAGUUUCCCUCUGCUGCCAGUGUUUGCGAUAAGCUAGGCUAACAGUUUCCCUCCACUGCCUGUGUUUGUGCUAAGCUAGGCUAACAGUUUCCCUCCGCUGCCAGUGUUUGUGCUAAGCUAGGCUAACAGUUUCCCUCUGCUGCCAGUGUUUGUGCUAGGCUAGGCUAACAGUUUCCCUCUGCUGCCAGUGUUUGUGCUAAGCUAGGCUAAUCCUGCAGCGGCUCUAAUGUGACUGUAGCUGACUUACGUAUCGAGAGUGGUGUGGAGGGAACACAGAGGAGCGUGAUUGGUGGUGUCCGUACAGGGAGUAUCCGUCAGGGGGCGGAGCCUGAGCUCUGAACACGCUGCACAACAUAGCAAGCGUCUGGACAUCGCUCAUGUGACUGUAAUGAUCCAAUCUGAGGAGUGGACACAGAACCAGAGCUUUAGAACCGUUUCUUCCUCUUUACAGUUUAAAAGUGAAACGGUCGCUCUGCUGUAAAGUGACGUUUUCUGAUUUAAACACAGACAGGAAGUGACAGUAAAAUCUUCUGAUUGGUGCAGGAAGGACAGCUAAUUGUGAAGCUACAACAGGAAGUUUCAAACCCAAUCAGCUGUUUCUAAUAAACUAAACAAAGAGCUCACAGAGUCUCCAGCAGGUGGCGUCCAAACGGGUGUCUGGCCCACGGAGUCUCGGUGUCCGGAUCCGGAUCUGGACUCAGGUCCUGCCUGGUGGCUGCAGACGCCAGAGCCCAGACCUGCAGACAGAGGAGGUAGAAACAGGAACUCAGUUCUAUCCUGGAUCUAGAAGUCCUGGAGGUUGUGGCUGAACAUUAAUAAUAAUUCAUUUAAUAACACGAAUUAAAGUGUAAAUUGUAAAGUCUUUACGGUCUUUAUUGUCUCUUAGUGUUUGUUUUAGAUCAGAGGUAUCAGAAUCAUCCUAGUCCAGGUUCCACAUCCAGUCCAGUCUGACCCCAGCCAGUAGAACCAGUAAACCCAGUAAAACCACAGCAUAAUAACCUAUAAAUAACCACAACUCCUCAUGGUUCCUUUGGUUUAGUGCAAAAAUGUUCAUAUUUCAGGAAUUAUCUUUUUACUCAACAUCAUGAAUAACCUGAAAUUUAUGAAGAAAAAUAAAUUCAGUUUCAUCAACAUUCAGCCUCAGUUUACCAUUUCCUCAUUACAACUUCCAGAUCACAGAGUGUCGACAAAGGAACACAACAUUUAGUCAUCUGGAACUGAACCAUAGAGGAUUUACUGGAGGAUCAAAAAAAAGACAAAAAACAACAAAAACAAGACAAAAUAUUUUAAAAAUGAGACAUGACAUGAAACAAAACAAAAAAGAGACAAAAAAAUGAAACAACAAACUUACAAAGAGACAAAAAUGAGACAAAAAUUUACAAAAGCGAGAAAAAAAUAGACUAAACACAAGCAAGACAAAAAAACGGAAAAUGACAAAAAUGAGAAAUAAAACGACAAAAGUCAGACCAAAAAAGACAAGAUGAAAUAUUACAAAAAUGAGACACAAAAUGACAAAAACGAGAAAACAACAAAAAAUGAGACAAAUGACACGAAACGAAACAAAAAAUUACACGAAAAAGUUACAAAGUGACAAAAAAUGGACAAAUGACACAAGCGAGACAAAGAAAACCCCACAAAACGACAAAACGUGACACAACAACGAAUGAAGCAAACACAAAAUGACAAAAAUAAGACUAAAAACAUAAACAAGACAAAAAGGAAAUACAAAACGACAAAAGCAUGAGAUAAACGACAAGUCAGACAAUAAAAGACUACAAACAACAAAAAAACAAGACAAAAUAGUACAAAAAUGAAAACCAAAACGACACGCUACACAACAAAACAAAAAAGAGACAAAAAUUUGACAAAAAUACUACAAAGUGACAAAAAAAUUACACAAAUGACACAAACGAGACAAAAUAUUACAAAAAUGAGAAACAAAAGAACAAUGAACAAUCUAGUAUUUUACUUUAUGAUCAAAACAACUUGUCAUAGUCUAAAAAUUAUUUAAAUUUAUAGUUUUACUAAUUUACAAUCUGCACUUAAUGUCUUCUCUGGAAUUUUUACACUUUGAGGGCCGGAUUGGACCCUCUGGAGGACCGCUUUUAGCCCGCGGGCCGCAUGUUGGACACCCCUGGUCUAGAGUCUUUGUUGUGAUUUUUUUCUCUUUUUGCUGUUUGUUGUUUUAGUCUUCUGUAAUGAACCUGUAGUUUAAACGUUGCUCUUUAUGAACGUUAUGAUAGAAAACAGAACAACUCAUAACCUAACCCUGUCACUAAAUAACAGAAACCUUUCUGUUGCUUUAUUCUGGGUUUAAACACCAACAAACAGAUCAAUCUCCGUCUUUAGAACACUUUAAUAAAACAUAAGUAGUUUAACUGGUGACUAGCAGCGGUUUCAUCCUGAUCUUUACUGGAAAGUUCUGCUGAAACGUGAUGAUUGUUCCUCCGCCCUGCAUCGUUGUUCACCAGAUAGAAUCAUUAAAGACGGAUUUUUAUAAAACGCUGCUGAACUCACCUUCGCCACGUCUCGCCGUCCGACCGUUAGCGCCACCGCUGCGUUCUUCUGACAUGUUUCCUGGAUGUCGUUCAUGUUCAGGCUGAGCAGCACAACAGACACAACAAACACACAACUGUCAACACCACACAAACACAACGUUCUACAUUAUACUAGUAUUCUAGUCUGAUAAAAACCAGACUGAACACGUCUACUGGAGGCUCACUGACGUCUAUUCUGGUCUAUUCAACCUUUAAAGAGCACAAAUGUUCAGUCGGACAACUCUUACAUUUGAUUUUUAAUCUAAAUAUUCGUCUCUUUCCUGGCUGAGCUCUGAGGAACAUUUUGCCCAGAAUUUUGUCUGCAGGUUAUUGAGGAGUAUUUAUGUCCUGAGUUUUACCUGUCAGGCUGCACAGAUUAAUUUGAGCUCCAUGAAUUAAACGUUUGAGUUUUCAGGCUGGUUGAAGGUUAAAAUGGACUCCUGACAUUUGGGAGUCUGGAACAUUUACCCUAACCCUCGUCACGACACACUAAAAUGUAAUGAGAGCCAUACCUAAAACACAACAGGAAGUCGGCCAUUUUGAAUUAUAAGUCUUAUUUUGGACCAUUUUGGACCAAUUUUUGCACAUUUUCAAAAGCUGUAAACUCAAACAGGGCAACCCCAACAGAGCUGAAAUUUGGCCAGGAUGUACAGCAGGCAUGGUUAUCAAAAUCCUCCGCAAAAAUCUGAGGGUGAGGAAAUGGCGGCUGGCGGAAUGUCGACAUUUCACCAUGAAACAGGAAGUGAUGUCUAACUCUGCUGAACAUGCUCCAAUUAGCCUCAGACUUUACAUGUAUGAUCAGAGUGCAACCCUCAUCACAACCAUAGGCCCAAAUACACUCUCAGUCGCAGCGCCACCUGGUGGAUAUGCUUGGACUUGCUGACCAGCGAGAAUGUGAGGAUCUGUUCAAUGCUGCUUGCAGCUUUAAUUGUUUUAAUUCUUGUCACAGCAUCUUUGAUUUUUCAGUUUUAAACUAUUUUUGGAGAAAUGUGACGAUAACUGUCAACAGGGUCGCUGUAGUUUGAAGUAAAGGGUCAUUUCAGCCAAAAUAUAAAAGCAAGCUGUCUUUUAUUUACGUAUUAAUGAAGGACUUGUAGAUCUAAACUCAGAAUACCUUGGAUAGUCUGAACAAUACAGUCAUUGUGUUUUCAUUACUACUGACUUCUGAACCUGAUUCAAGAUAUUCUUCGGCUGUAUUCUUCCCAACCCAGCGCAUCACUUCCUGUCUUUUCUUUCUUUUGACAGAAAGUAGUUCCAGUGACAUGACAGUUUAAGCAUCAUCCAGAAUAACAGCAUUUAUAGAAACAAACUAAAUGUAUUCAUGGAGGCAGAAAUCUCUGAUUUGUCACACAAAGCCAAAACCAGUGUUUUUUUUUGGACGCUCUGAGUAAACCGAAGCGUCAGUUUUUGUUAAAAGUCAUGAUUUCUGCUGGAAAAUACUUUCAUUAUUGAUUAAUCUGAUGAGUAUUUUCUCAUUUGGUCAAUAAAAUAUCAGAAAACUCUGUUCUGACCAAAUAGGAGGUGUAAUUUGUCUUUUUUAUUGCAGAAUAUUAACGUUCAUUCCAGAGCUGGAGGACAUUUUACAUCCAAUAAUCCAUGUAGAAAAUCCUAAAACAUGCAGUUGUUGUGUAAAUGUUCUCGUCCUGAGACCAAAUCUAAAAGAUUUGUGAUUUUGUGUCUCCUUUCUGUUGUUUUCUUGUUUUUUGUUAUUUUGUGUCUCAUUUUUGUCUUUUGUGUCUCGUUUUUCUCGUUUUGUGUCUCGAUUUUGUCAUUUGUGUCUUGUUUUUGUCGCUUGGUGUCUAGCUUUUGCCAUUUUGUGUCUUGUUUUUGUUGCUUGGUAUCUAGCUUUUGCCAUUUUGUGUCUUGUUUUUGGCUUUUGUGUCUCAUUUUUGUCUUUUGUGUCUUGUUUUUGUCAUUUUGUGUCUCAUUUUUGUUUUUUGUGUCUCAUUUUUCUCGUUUUGUGUCUCGUUUUUGUCAUUUGUGUCUUGUUUUUGUUGCUUGGUGCCUAGCUUUUGCCAUUUUGUGUCUUGUUUUUGUCAUUUUAUGUCUUGUUUCAGUCAGUUUGUCCACUCGGUCAGCAGUAACAGCUAGCUACAUAUCUAGCUUCUACUGCUGAGAAAAAGAUCACAUUAGCAUGGAUGAGAGUAGGGUUAGCAAACAACACAGAAAACAUGGAAUAAAAAUGCUCCCAUUGAUGUGGAAGCUGAGCCGAUCAACAUCUAUUAUUGAUCAAUAUGGAGCAGAAAAUUGGAGAAGAGAAGGUUGAUUUUUCAAAUAUUUAGAAACCCAAACAUCCACCAGUUCUGGAAUGAUCUUUAAACUGAGAAUAUUAGGAGUCCGUGGAUGGAUGAAUGUUUGAGACAGUAGCAUAUUAAAACAGAUGAGAUGUGUUUGGUUCUCACAUGUAGCUUUCUCCCAGAGAUUUGUGGACGGGCAGCAGGCAGGAGAUCUCCUGGAUGAUCACUUUACCGGCCAGUUUGAUGGGACGGUUGCCGUAGUCGGUUCCUUCUCGCUUCGUCUUAAAGCGACGGGAUUUCUGGCAGACAGACAGACGGACAGGAGGAAGGAGACGGCAGCCAACAGGAGACAAAGCAGCACCUGAUUAAAAGUGGUCUGAUGGCAGAUUACUGGAAGAGAAGGUUCACACUUAGAGACGCCAACUGAUGGCAGGAACCAGAGAGUUUCAGAGCCGUGGUGCGUUCAGGUACCUUCUGGAUCUUGGUCUUCAUGGCGGAGGGGAUGGUUGUCGGCGAGACGAACUGGAAGCUGGGAGCGGCAUUGUUCGGAUACUGAGCCGGAAACUUGACCACCAGAUGAACCUGAUGGCUGCCGAAGUGAGCCGAGACCACGCAGCUCCGGUUCACGGCGUCCAUCUGGACCAACAGACCGGAUCAGGACGGGUUGACCAAUGAGAACUCCUGCUGCAGCGUCUGAGCCAGACCAGAAUCCUGACGAGAUCCGUCCUGGUCUGAGGGAACCAGAACCAGAACCAGAGUCAGACCGGAUCCACAUUUAACGAACACGUAUGAACAGAAAACCUGGAGUCACUGUCAUCACGGCAACCACUGAUUGUUUACAGUAAACAGGUAGAAACAAACAGAUAAAAGUUCCCCAAAGUUUCAGGAUCUUAGAUUAUUAUUCUAAGAGUCGACAUUUAGGAAAGUUUCUCGUUAUUUUAGGAUUUUAGAUUUCUGUUCUCAGAGUUCCUUAUUUCUGUCAUUGAGUUUCUCAUUUCUAAAUGUUCUCAGUGUUUUGACAAAGUUUCUUGUUAUUUUAAGAAUUUCUCAUUAGUUUCUCAUUAUUUUGAGAGCAUAAGUUUGAAACAAACUAAAUAAAAAAACAACUUUAGAUUCUUUCAUCCUCACAUUCUGAACCUCUGUCUCUGAUCGGCUGGUUCUCUUUUCAGAACCAAAACUUUGAAAAUCUUUAGAUUUAAUCCAGAAAAUGUUUCACAGCUUCAAGACUGAAACUAAAAUCAGAUCAUUAAAAUUGCUGCAGAUGAAAGAAGUCAAACUCAAUUCACGGUUUGGAUUGAAUUCAUCUUUUCUAUCAGCUGAUUUAUUAAUUAGAUUAAAUCGUCAGGAAUUAAUGAGAUCAGAUAUGGACGUCAGAAACUAAAUCUGGUUCCUGAAAAGACUCCAUGGCUCUGCAAAGGUUCUGGGGAGGUUCUAAUGGUUCUGUAAAAGUUCUGAUGGUUCUGUAAAGGUUCUUUAGGGGUUCUUUUAAGGUUGUGGUGGUUCUUUAGUGGUUCUAUAAAGGUUGUGAUGGUUCUGUAAAGGUUCUGAUGUUUCUCUAAUGGUUCUCUAGUGGUUUUUUAGUGGUUCCCUAAACAUUGUGAUGGCUCUGUAAAGGUUCUCUAAUUGUUAUUUAGGGGUUCUAUUUUAGUUCUGAUGAUUCUUUAGUGGUUCUUUGGUGGUUGCUUAAUGGUUCUCUAGUGGUUCUGUGGUGGUUCUUCAGUGGUUGUCUAGUGGUUCUUUGGUAGGUCUUUAGUAGUUCCUUAAUGGUUCUCUAGUAGUUCCUUAGUGGUUCUCUAGAGGGUCUUUAAUGGUUCUUUAGCGAUUCUUUGGUAGUUUAAUGGUGGUUCUCUAGAGGUUCUUUAAUGGUUCUCUAGUGGUUCUCUCGUGGUUCUUUAAUGGUACUCUAGAGAUUGUUUAGUGGUUCUUUAAUGGUUCUCUAGUGGUUCUUUAAUGGUUCUCUAGUGGUUCUUUGGUGGUUCUCUAGAGGUUCUUGGGUGGUUCUUUAAUGGUUCUCUAGUGGUUCUCUGGCAGUUCUUCAAUGGUUCUCUAGUGGUUCUCUAGAGGUUCUUUAAUGGUUCUCUUGUGGUUCUUUAGUGGUUCUCUCGAGGUUCUUUAGAGGUUCUUUAAUGGUUCUCUAGUGGUUCUUUCAUGGUUCCUUAAUAGUUCUUUAAUGGUUCUCUGGUGGUUCUCUAGUGUUUUUUAAUGGUUCUCUAGUGGUUCUUUGGUAACUUUAUGGUGGUUGUCUAGAGGUUCUUUAAUGCUUCUCUGGUGGUUCUUUAAUGGUUCUCUAGUGGUUCUCUGGUGGUUCUGUCUCACCCUGCUGGUUCUCUGCAGAGGUUCCUCCACAGUGUUGACCUUCAGGCUCCUGAUUGGUCAGAGAUUUCUCUGUCUCCACGGUGAGCGUCAUCCCGUCCAUCAGCUCCUCCACCACGUCGCUGACACACAACUACACAAUGACAACAACAACAAGGUGAGCCAAUCAGAGAGCCUCGUCGGUGUGAUGUCAUCCUGAGCGUCCUGCUGACCUUCUGCAGCUGAGGGUCGACUCUCCAGAUCCUCAGAGUCUGGUCUCUGGACCACGUCACCAGCUGGAAGUCUUUAGAACCUGAACAAGAGAUCAAGAAUCCAGAUCAACUGUUUAUCUGUGAUCUCAUUAAAGCUGCACAUGUUCAGGAUCAAAACAUCCCGCUGAGCAGAACGUCUGGUUCUACAUCUACUGAGCGUGUGAUGAUGUCGUAGCUCCACCUUCU